rnacentral:rRNA from 1 species
UUGACCUCAAAUCAGGUAGGACUACCCGCUGAACUUAAGCAUAUCAAUAAGCGGAGGAAAAGAAACUAACAAGGAUUCCCCUAGUAACUGCGAGUGAAGCGGGAAAAGCUCAAAUUUGAAAUCUGGCGGUUCUUGAACCGUCCGAGUUGUAAUCUAGAGAAGCGUUGCCUGUGCUGGACCGUGUAAAAGUCUCCUGGAAUGGAGCAUCACAGAGGGUGAGAAUCCCGUCUUUGACACGGACUGCCUGUACRAUAUGGUGCGCUCCCGAAGAGUCGAGUUGUUUGGGAAUGCAGCUCAAAAUGGGUGGUAAAUGCCAUCUAAAGCUAAAUAUUGGCGAGAGACCGAUAGCGAACAAGUACCGUGAGGGAAAGAUGAAAAGAACUUUGGAAAGAGAGUUAAACAGUACGUGAAAUUGCUGAAAGGGAAACGCUUGAAGUCAGUCGCGUCGGCUAGAAAUCAGCCUUGCUUUUGCUUGGUGUACUUUCUGGUUGACGGGUCAGCAUCAGUUUUGACCAUUGGAUAAAGUCGUUGGGAAUGUGGCAUCUUAGGAUGUGUUAUAGCCCAUUGUCGCAUACAGUGGUUGGGAUUGAGGAACUCAGCACGCCGAAAGGCCGGGUCUUUUCUGACCACGUUCGUGCUUAGGAUGCUGGCAUAAUGGCUUUAAUCGACCCGUC